AGACCAGUGGCCCGAUUGGCAAGGCAACAGUCGUUGAAAAAGACGGCUGUCAUAUGCGGGUUCAAAUCCCGCCUGGUCCA
rnacentral:tRNA from 1 species